AGCGAACGCUGGCGGCAGGCCUAACACACGCAAGUCGAACGGCAGCAAAGUAUGAGCUUGCUCUUACGGGUGGCGCGUGCCGGAUGCUUGAGGAAUUCCAUGGACUUUUCUUCUUAGUGGGGGAUAACGUAGGGAAACUUCAGCUAAUAACGCAUACCUCCCACGGGAGAAAGCAGGGGAUCCUCGUACCUUGCGGGAUCGCAUGAGCCGAUGUCGGAUCAGCUAGUUGGCGGGGUAAAGGCCCACCAAGGCGGCGAUCCGUAGCUGGUCUGAGAGGAUGAUCAGCCACACUGGAACGGAGACACGGUCCAGACUCCUACGGGAGGCAGCAGUGGGGAAUAUUGGACAAGGGGCGCAAGCCUGAUCCAGCCAUACCGCGUGGGUGAAGAAGGCCUUCGGGUUGUAAAGCCCUUUUGUUGGGAAAGAAAAGCAGCAGGUUAAUACCCCGCUGUUCUGACGGUACCCAAAGAAUAAGCACCGGCUAACUUCGUG
rnacentral:rRNA from 1 species